UUGUCGAUACCUGUCCAAAACGGAACGACCAGAGAACAACCGAUCAUCACUCCCGGUGGGCCGGUUUCUUGACCGAUCUCGAGCCUAUCGGUUCCGUGGCUUCGCUUGUGGUCCCCAUCAAGUCUUGGUGUGGUCAUGCGCGCAGCUUCCGGAUAUCACAAAACCCCGGCACGAAAAGUGUCAAGGAACAUGCAACUGAACAGCCGCCUUCGCCGCCCCGGAGACGGUGCGUGUGCGGAUGCUGUGCUGCAAUCUGAAGUCUAAAACGACUCUCGGCAACGGAUAUCUCGGCUCUCGCAUCGAUGAAGAACGUAGCGAAAUGCGAUACUUGGUGUGAAUUGCAGAAUCCCGUGAACCAUCGAGUCUUUGAACGCAAGUUGCGCCCAAAGCCUUCAGGCCAAGGGCACGUCUGCCUGGGUGUCACAAAUCGUCGUCCCUCCAUCCUCCUAUGAGGAUUCGGGACGGAAGUUGGUCUCCCGUGUGGUACCGCACGCGGUUGGCCAAAAUCUGAGCUAAGGACGCCAGGAGCGUCUCGACAUGCGGUGGUGAAUUCAAAAGCCUCGUCAUUUCGUCGGCCGUUCCUGUCCGGAUGCUCUCGAUGACCCAAGGUUCCAACGCGACCCCA
rnacentral:rRNA from 1 species